GCCCGCGCCCGUCGGGGCCCGCCCGCCGCCGCUUCCAGAAAGACUAAUAAUGAAACUGUUCCUGUGAAGGAAACAGGGAAGCGCAAAAGAAAUACUACGGCUGAACCCUCACCAGGAGAAGGUCGCAGCAAGCGCCAGCGCGGCGGCCCGCCGGCGACAGGCUCGCCCGCGAGCAAGCCGACACGCCGCAGUCGCCGGAGAUAACGAACAGACAUGGAACACCGGGAACAAGUACAAAUAGCAUAUUUAAGGUACACAUCAAUACGCCUAUUUUGUGAAGAUUUUAUUAAGAAUUAUUAUUAGGUUUAUUGUCCCACUGGGCAUGUGUGUUCAAUAUUCAUAUUAUUAUGAUCGUACAAACUACAAUUCAUAUCUGCUUUCGUGCGAUUUUUUUAAAAACAACAAAAUAAUAUGUGUGCUGCUGUUGCCGACGGCAAACGUUCUUACUAAAAAGUAUGUUCAUUGAUUCAGGUAUGGUCACAUGUUGUAUGUCUACAACAGAUGUAACAAAGCAUAAAAUGCACCUUAUGUCGUCCCCUUGACGUCUUUAUUUUCAUAAUAGUAUGCUAAUGUUGUGGUACCUUAUUCCAGGGCCCCAAUUCUGCUAUUUAAAAUGGCCGAUGAAUUAAUUAAAUUUGGCUUAAAAUGACAAUUUUCGUUUUAUCUUAAGCAUUUUCUACACAAUAAUUGGAAAUUCAGUGUGGGACGCUAAACUCAAGGUCAAUACAAUUAAGUUCCAAUUAUUGUAUUGGCAAUAUGCUUAAGAGAAUAGGAAUAAUUUCAAAUUUAAUUCAAUUGCCAUUCAUUCAUCGGCCAUUGUAAAAUAGCAGAAUCGGGGCCCAGUUGCUAUUGCAGAGACGCUGGUGAGGUGCAACACCAGGAGUAUUUUAGUAAAUUUGAAAUUGAGGGUUUAUUCUCAAAGUAUAUAAUAAAUUAGAUUUUUUACAUGAAUACCUUUACAUUUGACUCAUUAUUAUGUGCAGUACUAGUGCAGUCAGCUCGCCAUACAGUAUUGUGUUACUGUUGUUGACAUUAGUUAUGCUUGAUGGUUCCUUAACAGAAUGCUCACAAGAAUCAUGGUUCCAUUUUAUUUAUAAUUUUCCUUUUAGUUACUUUUUAUUUUAGAUUUGUGUAACAUUUAGUUUAGUAGAGAGUACUUGUACUUUUAGUGAUUAUUUUAGUAAUAUUGUAUUGUAAGGGGUGUGAUUCCCGAGAGUGGAUUUGUUUUAGUUUGUUAACCUUAGUUGUGGUCGGCGCUACGUAAGCGCACAUUAUGUUUUGACUUCAAAUCUUUGAAUUUCUUUUAUACUUACUGCUUAGCUCAUAAUGGUUAUUUUGACAUGAUUUUAAAUGGCUUGAACGCGACUGUUGGAAACUGUUGUAUUUCAUAGUACCAAUGAAGAAAACGUAAGAAGUCAAUAUAAAGGAACAAAUAUAUUGAUUUAUAAACAAUUUUAUAAAUGAAGACUCGCGUCAAAAUUAUAAAAUAAAUUGUUAAAUAGCUUGUAAUAAAUAGCUCGUGAAUUAUG